rnacentral:lncRNA from 1 species
GCUUCCGUGAUGUCACCCAUUUCCUGGUCCCGAUCGACCAGUGCCCUCCUCCUUCCUUAGGCACCUGUGCGCGGAGGUUGAGGCUGGGCACUGCUCGGGCAGCGCAAGGAGCUGCGGGAUUCAUCCGCAGGGCAGGAGAGCUGAGGGGCUGCCGCUCUGAGAGCCCCAGACGGACGCCUGACAAGGCUGCAUCCCACCCACCCCCCUGAAAAAAAGCUCUUGGAUUGUUCAGCGCAGGUGACGGUAUCCAUAUGACCUCCACUGACCCUCUUUGUUGUCAGCUGUGGAAGUUCAGAAUUUGAAAGUUACACGGAGGAGCUUCUGGUCAGGUUUCAGGUUUGUGGGUGGCUCCUAGAAGAUCUUGAUUUGCUCCCAAAGGAAUAUUAUUUUACUGGGUUUGUUUCCUGUCAAACUGUGCCCCCUGGUCAACCAUGAACCAGCCAGACCCUGCCGAUGACGCGGAUCCCAGCCCUGCAGCCCUGUGUGUGGUGUGUGGCCAAGCCCACUCCCCUGAGGAAAACCACUUCUACACCUACACGAAAGAUGUGGAUGAUGACCUCAUAUGCCACAUCUGCCUGCAAGCUUUGCUCGACCCUCUGGACACUCCCUGUGGACAUACCUACUGCACACUCUGCCUCACCAACUUCCUGGUGGAAAAGGACUUCUGCCCCGUGGAUCGAAAGCCUCUAGUUCUGCAGCACUGCAGGAGGUCCAACAUCCUGGUCCACAAGCUUCUCAACAAGCUGCUGGUGACCUGCCCGUUCGUGGAGCACUGCACUGAGGUGGUGCAGCGCUGUGACCUUGAACAUCACUUUCAGACCAGCUGUAAAGGCGCCUCCCACUAUGGGCUGACCAAAGACAGGAAGAGGCGUUCUCAAGAUGGCUGUCCAGAUGGCUGUGCGAGCCUCACAGCAACAGCACUCUCCCCAGAGAUUUCUGCAGCUGCCACCAUCGCCUUAAUGACGGAUGAGCCUGGCCUAGACAACCCUGCCUACGUGUCCACAGCAGAGGAUGGUCAGCCAGCAAACAGCCCAUUGGACUCUGGCCGGAGCAACCGAACUAGGACACGGCCCUUUGAGCGAUCCACUAUCAGAAGCAGAUCUUUUAAAAAAAUAAAUCGAGCUUUGAGCGUCCUUCGAAGGACGAAGAGUGGAAGUGCAGUUGCCAACCAAGCUGACCAGGGCAGAGAAAAUUCUGAAAACACCACUGCCCCUGAAGUCUUUCCAAGGUUGUAUCACCUGAUUCCAGAUGGUGAAAUUACCAGCAUCAAGAUCAAUCGAGUGGAUCCCAAUGAAAACCUCUCCAUUAGGCUUGUGGGAGGCAGAGAAACCCCACUGGUCCAUAUCAUUAUUCAACAUAUUUAUCGUGAUGGGGCAGUUGCCAGAGACGGCCGACUACUGCCAGGAGACAUCAUACUAAAGGUCAACGGGAUGGACAUCAGCAAUGUACCUCACAGCUACGCCCUGCGCCUUCUGCGGCAGCCCUGCCAAGUGCUGCGGCUGACAGUGCUGCGGGAGCAGAAGUUCCGAAGCAGGAACAAUGGACAGGCACUGGACACCUAUGGACCUCGGGAUGACAGUUUCCAUGUGAUUCUCAACAAGAGCAGCCCUGAGGAACAGCUUGGAAUAAAACUAGUGCGCAAGGUGGAUGAACCUGGGGUGUUCAUUUUCAACGUGUUGGAUGGUGGUAUGGCGGACCGACAUGGUCAGCUGGAGGAGAACGAUCGUGUGUUAGCCAUCAAUGGACAUGACCUUCGAUACGGCAGCCCAGAAAGUGCAGCUCAUCUGAUUCAGGCCAGUGAAAGGCGUGUCCACCUCGUCGUGUCCCGCCAGUUUCGUCAGCAGAGUCCUGACAUCUUUCAGGAAGGUAGCUGGAACAGCAACGGCAGCCAGUCCCCAGGGCCAGGGGACAGGAGCAACACUCCCAAGCUCCUCCAUCCAGCGGUCACUUGUCAUGAGAAGGUGGUAAGUGUCCAAAAAGACCCCAGCGAAUCUCUCGGCAUGACCGUUGCAGGGGGAGCAUCACAUAGGGAGUGGGAUUUGCCCAUCUAUGUCAUCAGUGUUGAGCCCGGAGGAGUCAUAAGCAGAGAUGGAAGAAUAAAAACAGGUGACAUUUUGUUGAAUGUGAAUGGGAUUGAGCUAACACAGGUCAGCCGGAGUGAGGCAGUUGCAUUAUUGAAGAGCACAUCCUCCUCGGUGGUACUUAAAGCUUUGGAAGUCAAAGAACGUGAGGCCCAGGAAGACUGCAGCAGCCCAGCAGCCCUGGACUACUCCAACCACAACACAGCCCCACCUGGCGACUGGUCCCCUUCCUGGGUCAUGUGGCUGGAAUUACCACGGUACCUGUAUAACUGUAAAGAUGUUAUAUUACGAAGAAAUACAGCUGGAAGUCUGGGCUUCUGCAUUGUAGGAGGUUACGAAGAAUAUAAUGGGAACAAACCUUUCUUUAUCAAAUCCGUUGUUGAAGGAACACCAGCAUACAAUGAUGGAAGAAUUAGGUAAUAAUAAUGACUACUAACAAAACUUAUAUUCAAAUAUUUUGUUUUAUACAUGCAAAAGCUUGGCCCCAUCUGAAAUAAGGCAUGUAUUUAUUAUACUUUUUUUAUUGGUAAGAAAUUAAAAACAGUCAUGUAGCAUCCAAUUUCUAAGAAAUCCAAAAUGAAUUAGUUACUCUAGGUCCUAUACAGCAACUUCCUAUACAUUUAGCAUCCCUUCUAACACAAGUUGAAUGGAAAGAGUUUGCAGAAUUUGAGUAGGGGGAAAAAAUACCUUAAUUAGAAGUAAUAUAAUUAAAAUUGACAGAUGUGGCAAAAAUUAGGACCACCAUAUAAACUUACAUUAACUUUAGCUAUGGAUCAAAAUGUUAAUAUACCUUGUUUUAUUUUUUUCAGAUGUGGUGAUAUUCUUCUCGCUGUCAAUGGCAGAAGUACAUCAGGCAUGAUACAUGCUUGCUUGGCAAAGAUGCUGAAAGAACUUAAAGGAAAAAUUACUCUCACAAUUGUUUCUUGGCCUGGCACUUUUUUGUAGAAUCAAUGAUGGGUCAUAGAAAAAUGAGAAAUCACAAAUAAGCUAAGUUGAAACAACGUAUUUAUCUUGUCAAUUUUUGUAUUUAAAGGAUACACUGUAAAAAAUGUAAACUUUAAUUGUCAGGAAAAGUAUGAUCUAAAGAAAGCCAAUGACACCUCAGAAAAUAUAACUCUCAAAACAAACAUUACUAAUAGUGUUUAUUUAGUGUGGAGGAUUUCUCAUUACUCCACAACUUUAACUUUAUAUUUUUUUAUUCAGUAAAAAGCUCUUAAAUUGCUGAAAUGGUUUGUAUGCCCCCCACUGGCUUUAAAUCCUACAAUUAAAUUAAAAAUUUGGUAUAUGCUGAGGUCUGCAAAGGGUACACUAUACAACCAGAGGAUUUUAAAUGUACAUUGCUGGAAAAUGUUUGUUUCAUCAAAUGAGAAAUAAAUAUUUUUGAAAAAUUAUAGUCGUCUUUUAG